UAAGCUGUCUUUAAGAUUUCACUGAUCAUCUGACCCAUAUUGACCCUGUAGGUAAGCUGUCUUUAAGAUUUCACUGAUCAUCUGACCCAUAUUUACUCUAUUGGAAAGCUGUCUUUAUGAUUUCACUGAUCAUCUGACCCAUAUUGACCCCAUAGGUAAGCUGUCCUUAUGAUUUCACUGAUCAUCUGACCCAUAUUGACCCUAUAGGUAAGCUGUCUUUAUGAUUUCACUGAUCAUCUGACCCACAUU